rnacentral:rRNA from 1 species
GAUGAACGCUGGCGGUAUGCUUAACACAUGCAAGUCGAACGGUCCUUUCGGGGAUAGUGGCGGACGGGUGAGUAACGCGUGAGAAUCUGCCUUUAGGACGGGGACAACAGUUGGAAACGGCUGCUAAAACCCGAUGUGCCCUUCGGGGUGAAAUAUUUAUAGCCUGAAGAUGAGCUCGCGUCUGAUUAGCUAGUAGGUGAGGUAAAGGCUCACCUAGGCGACGAUCAGUAACUGGUCUGAGAGGAUGACCAGUCACACUGGGACUGAGACACGGCCCAGACUCCUACGGGAGGCAGCAGUGGGGAAUUUUCCGCAAUGGGCGCAAGCCUGACGGAGCAAUACCGCGUGAGGGAGGAAGGCUCUUGGGUCGUAAACCUCUUUUAUCAGGGAAGAACACAAUGACGGUACCUGAUGAAUCAGCAUCGGCUAACUCUGUGCCAGCAGCCGCGGUAAUACAGAGGAUGCAAGCGUUAUCCGGAAUUAUUGGGCGUAAAGCGUCCGCAGGUGGUUUUGAAAGUUUGCUGUCAAAGCGCGAGGCUCAACUUCGUACCGGCGGUGAAAACUUCAAGACUAGAGCUAGGUAGGGGUCACGGGAAUUCCCAGUGUAGCGGUGAAAUGCGUAGAUAUUGGGAAGAACACCAGCGGCGAAAGCGCGUGACUGGGCCUGAGCUGACACUCAUGGACGAAAGCUAGGGGAGCGAAAGGGAUUAGAUACCCCUGUAGUCCUAGCCGUAAACGAUGACAACUAGGUGUUGCGCG